rnacentral:misc_RNA from 1 species
GAAAUGCGAUAAGUAAUGUGAAUUGCAGAAUUCAGUGAAUCAUCGAAUCUUUGAACGCACCUUGCGCUCCUUGGUAUUCCUUGGAGCAUGCCUGUUUGAGUAUCAUGAAAUCUUCAAAGUAAAUCUUUUGUUAACUCAAUUGGUUUCUACUUUGGUAUUGGAGGUCUUUGCAGCUUCACACCUGCUCCUCUUUGUUCAUUAGCUGGAUCUCAGUGUUAUGCUUGGUUCCACUCGGCGUGAUAAGUUAUCUAUCGCUGAGGACACUGUAAUAGGUGGCCAAGGUAAAUGCUGAUGAACCGCUUCUAAUAGUCCAUUGACUUGGACAAUACUUUUAUGAUCUGAUCUCGAAUCAGGUAGGACUACCCGCUGAACUUAAGC